AUGGCUGAUGUGGCUUGUAUUAGAUGACAUGGCAUUAAAUAAAUGAGAUGACGUGGUUUUAAUUCCAUCCAGGUUAAAUUGGGCACAUCUCAUAUCUCGUUCUUCUACUUCUUCUUUUGAGUUUAGCCUCGUUGACAUGCCGUUUACCGUCCGAUUUGUCGUCGUUCGCUUGUAGUUUUCACUCGUUGUCCUUCUCGGUCUUGUUGACAUUGGAUCUUCUGCACUUCUCGCUGCUUCAGGCCUCGCUGUAGUUGUGUAGGCAGGCAACUUCUAAGGCACAUUCUUACACCUAAUUUGGAAGAUCUAUUUCAUAUGGUUGAUUGCGGGAUAGCAACUAAUGUGCCUAUUAUCCAUACAAAGCUCAAACCAAGAAAACCAUCUGAAAGGAUUAUUAAGAUCAAGCUCCGAAAUCCAAUUUUUGAUAAGGAUAAAAGUGGAUUUACACAGGACAAACCUGUCAUUAAUUUAGAACAGUAUAUUUAUGAACUGGAAUGGGACAAAACUCUAGCCGUUUGUGAUGUUUUUUUGAUACUUGGAACUUAGUAUUCCUAGCCUUUUGUAAUGUAUGUCCCCUUUUAACAUGUUUAUAUUCCUGCUAUAUUGUUAAUGGAGUGGUAUAACUGUUCCAUA